rnacentral:rRNA from 1 species
AUACGGAAGGUGCGAGCGUUAUCCGGAUUCAUUGGGUUUAAAGGGUCCGCAGGCGGGAAAAUAAGUCAGUGGUGAAAGCCUACCGCUCAACUGUAGAACUGCCAUUGAAACUGUUUUUCUUGAGUAUAGAUGAAGUGGGCGGAAUAUAUCAUGUAGCGGUGAAAUGCAUAGAUAUGAUAUAGAACACCGAUUGCGAAGGCAGCUCACUAAACUAUUACUGACGCUCAGGGACGAAAGCGUGGGGAGCGAACAGGAUUAGAUACCCGAGUAGUCC